CUCAUAAGACUUGUGAGCUAGUUAAUUUGUACCUGGUACAGAAGCCUAGACUGUUAGGAAACGAAGAGUUAAGCUUGUCUGAGCUACCCAACACAUAUUGAGAUUCAGUUCAAAUAUUGGGCAAGUACCACAGUGACUUGCCAGAGGGCAGAGUUGGUUCACUAACAUCUGGAUGACAGCUGGUCUUCAGAUCAGUGUCUGAAAACAGGGAGGGAGUUGGACUUCUUGAAGCCUAGAAAGAGAUGUCUGAGAAAUGUGUAAAAAUUGCUGGCAGUGCAGUUGACAAGGAUCCAGUGCUCAUGUACCUUUGUUGCUGUAAAAUGGAAUGGAUAUUUGCUUCCCCCUCUGGUGAGGUAGUGUGGCAGGUCAAGAGUCCCCUCCCUUUUUGGAUUCUAUAUAUACACUGCACCUGUCUCUGUGUUGCAAGAACACAGUGUUUUAUAAGCCUUUGUACAUCUUUGAGCUAAUUUUGCACCAUUAAGUAAGCAGAUAUGAGUUUCACUGGUUACUGGAUGGCAGCUGUUUGUAGAAUUCCUGGUGAAGAAGAUAGUAAGGUUUAAGAAAAAGUGGUGUGCUGGGACUCAGAAAUCUGGGAACUCAUCCAAAAUACAGUGGAAUGAGUCAGGACAAAAUCAUUACCACUCUUGGAAAAAGUGGCAUGAAAU
rnacentral:lncRNA from 1 species